CCUACGGGAGGCAGCAGUGAGGAAUAUUGGUCAAUGGUCGGAAGCCUGAACCAGCCAAGUAGCGUGCAGGAUGACGGCCCUACGUGUUGUAAACUGCUUUUAUCCGGGAAUAACGCGCCUUACGUGUAGGGCUUUGCAUGUACCGUAUGAAUAAGGACCGGCUAAUUCCGUGCCAGCAGCCGCGGUAAUACGGAGGGUCCGGGCGUUAUCCGGAUUUAUUGGGUUUAAAGGGGGCGUAGGCCGCAUGUCAAGCGUGCGGUGAAAUGUCCGGGCUCAACCCGGGCCUUGCGGUGGAAACUGGCGGGCUCGAGUCCGCGGAAAGCAGGCGGAAUGCGUCGUGUAGCGGUGAAAUGCUUAGAUAUGGCGAAGAACCCCGAUUGCGAAGGCAGCUUGCUGCAGCGGAACUGACGCUGAUGCUCGAAAGCGCGGGUAUCGAACAGGAUUAGAUACCCUAGUAGUC
rnacentral:rRNA from 1 species